rnacentral:rRNA from 1 species
CGUGUAGGCGGUCCGCUAAGUCUGAUGUGAAAGCCCGGGGCUCACCCCCGGAAGUGCACUGGAAACUGGCGGACUCGAGUCCCGGAGAGGAGGGUGGAAUUCCUGGUGUAGCGGUGAAAUGCGUAGAUAUCAGGAGGAACACCGGUGGCGAAGGCGGCCCUCUGGACGGUGACUGACGCUGAGACGCGAAAGCGUGGGGAGCAAACA